AUGCGAGUCCAGAGUGGUAAUGCACUCGGCAAACGGCUCAGUAACACGUGGGUAAUCUAACCUCAGGACAGGGAUAACCCCGGAAAACUGGGGAUAAUACCUGAUAGGUGGAGAAGUCUGGAACGGCUCCCCGCCCAAAUGCUCCGGCGCCUGAGGAUGGGCCUGCGACCGAUUAGGUUGUUGGCGGUGUAACGGACCACCAAGCCUGAAAUCGGUACGGGUGUUGAGAGACAGAGCCCGGAGAUGGGGUCUAAGACACGGCCCCAGGCCCUACGGGGCGCAGCAGGCGCGAAAACUCCGCAAUACGCGAAAGCGUGACGGGGGAACCCCCAGUGCGUCAUCGCAAGAUGAUGCUUUUUUAGAGUGUAAACAGCUUUAAGAAUAAAAGCGGGGUAAGACCGGUGCCAGCCGCCGCGGUAACACCGGCCGCUUGAGUGGUGACCGCUAUUAUUGGGCCUAAAGCGUUCGUAGCCGGUUUGGUAAGUCCUUGGGUAAAUCCUGACGUUCCACGUUAGGAAUUCCAGGGAUACUGCCUGACUCGGGGCCGAGAGAAGUCGGAGGUACUCCUGGGGUAGUGGUGAAAUACUGUAAUCCUGGGGGGGACCACCAGUGGCGAAGGCGUCCGACUAGAGCGGGCUCGACGGUGAGGAACGAAAGCCAGGGGAGCGAACGGGAUUAGAUACCCCGGUAGUCCUGGCCGUAAACGCUGUGGGCUAGGUGUUGCAUGCUCUACGGGGGCGUGCAGUGCCGAAGAGAAGUUGAUAAGCCUACCGCCUGG
rnacentral:rRNA from 1 species